GGUGGUUGGCGCGGAGCAAUUCGACCUACUGGUGCAGCAGGUCAGAGGCCUCACUGAAGCUGUGCAGGCCAUGCAAUAGCAGCAACAGCCGCAGGCAUCAGUGCGACAGGGAAGAGCAUCAUCGGAACUCCAAAAUCCGAUGGUGGGACAGGCCACUUGGGCCAGCCACCCCGUCUUUCCCGGAAAGAUGAAUCCAAGGGUGGAGAGCCCUCAAUCAGACCACGAUUCCACCCCUGGAAGAUCUCUACCUCUAUUCUGCCAGA
rnacentral:lncRNA from 1 species